rnacentral:rRNA from 1 species
GAGUUUGAUCCUGGCUCAGGAUGAACGCUAGCGGCAGGCUUAACACAUGCAAGUCGAGGGGUANUAGGAAAAAAGGCUGCUUUUCGCUGACGACCGGCGCACGGGUGCGUAACGCGUAUAGAAUCUACCUUUUACUAAGGGAUAGCCUUUAGAAAUGAAGAUUAAUACCUUAUAGUAUUGCAAAUUGGCAUCAAUUUGUAAUUAAAGAUUUAUUGGUAAAAGAUGACUAUGCGUUCUAUUAGUUAGUUGGUGAGGUAACGGCUCACCAAGACAGCGAUAGAUAGGGGUCCUGAGAGGGAGAUCCCCCACACUGGUACUGAGACACGGACCAGACUCCUACGGGAGGCAGCAGUGAGGAAUAUUGGGCAAUGGAGGCAACUCUGACCCAGCCAUGCCGCGUGCAGAAAGACGGCCCUAUGGGUUGUAAACUGCUUUUAUACAGGAAGAAACACUCCCUCGUGAGGGAGCUUGACGGUACUGUAAGAAUAAGCACCGGCUAACUCCGUGCCAGCAGCCGCGGUAAUACGGAGGGUGCAAGCGUUAUCCGGAAUCAUUGGGUUUAAAGGGUCCGCAGGCGGUCAAUUAAGUCAGAGGUGAAAUCCCAUAGCUUAACUAUGGAACUGCCUUUGAUACUGGUUGACUUGAGUUAUACGGAAGUAGAUAGAAUGUGUAGUGUAGCGGUGAAAUGCAUAGAGAUUACACAGAAUACCGAUUGCGAAGGCAGUCUACUACGUAUAUACUGACGCUCAUGGACGAAAGCGUGGGGAGCGAACGGAAUUAGAUACCCCGGUAGUCCACGCCGUAAACGAUGGACACUAGUUGUUGGGAUUUAUCUCAGUGACUAAGCGAAAGUGAUAAGUGUCCCACCUGGGGAGUACGGUCGCAAGAUUGAAACUCAAAGGAAUGACGG